UGGGGAAUAUUGCACAAUGGGCGCAAGCCUGAUGCAGCAACGCCGCGUGAGGGACGACGGCCUUCGGGUUGUAAACCUCUUUUAGUAGGGAAGAAGCGAAAGUGACGGUACCUGCAGAAAAAGCACCGGCUAACUACGUGCCAGCAGCCGCGGUAAUACGUAGGGUGCGAGCGUUGUCCGGAAUUAUUGGGCGUAAAGAGCUCGUAGGCGGUCUGUCGCGUCUGCUGUGAAAACCCGAGGCUCAACCUCGGGCCUGCAGUGGGUACGGGCAGACUAGAGUGCGGUAGGGGAGAAUGGAAUUCCUGGUGUAGCGGUGGAAUGCGCAGAUAUCAGGAGGAACACCGAUGGCGAAGGCAGUUCUCUGGGCCGUAACUGACGCUGAGGAGCGAAAGCGUGGGGAGCGAACAGGAUUAGAUACCCUGGUAGUCCACGCCGUAAACGUUGGGCGCUAGAUGUGGGGCACCAUUCCACGGUUUCCGUGUCGCAGCUAACGCAUUAA
rnacentral:rRNA from 1 species